AAUGCUCCUGAUGUGGCCUUGGUUGGCAACAGAUGUUAUACCGUCGCCGAAUGGUGGAAGGUGAACUGCAAUGGGACCUGAGAAAUACAGGGAUAAAAGAGGCUUCGACGGUUUUUGAUCCUGUGCCUUCCAUAUGCUGUUUGGGUGCUGCUUCAAAUGAGAUACGUGAGGCGGAAAAAAGAUGGAGACGAAAAAUUUCCACCAAGCUUGAAGCAUGCAAUGGUUAUUCUUAAAACUCUUUUUGCAUACAUCCCUUCGUAUCUAUUUUGCUUAUCAUGACAAUGCACUGUAGGAAAUAUAAUUUACCUGUUGGGAGCGCAGCUGGUGAAUUUGGCUUCCUUCUCCAUAUUUAAUAUCUUUGACGAAAAGAACUUUUCAACGUCCUGUUCUUGUCUUGCACGUCCUUGAAAGGAAGUUUCCUUUGAACAAUUUAGCGAACUUUUAAUUAUGAGUGCUGUCUGAUAUUGUGGUCAUUUCAAUUGUUACAAAAUCAUAUCCGUAUAAUGGAUAACAGUGUUAUGUCUAGCUUUUGGAAAAUAUUGGAAAAUAUGCAGAUAGGUAUCAGUGACCACAAUUGCUCGAGCCAGUUACUAAAAGAAGUCUAACCUAGGCUGUGGUCUCAGACAAUUA